GGAACUAUGUAGCUAAUACUGUUGUAACGGGGAUCCUUAUUGUAGCAACACACUUUUGGAUGGAAGGCAACCCUGCGCUGCGUUAACUAAGUUUUCAUGUCAUCCGGUGUAGUUCAUAAAGGUUGAAGCGUGUAUGUUAGGAUGAAGUGUGAAUUCAUGCAAGGAAUAAUAAGUGUGAAGUUUGAUUUCCUCCCUUCUGUAAUAAGCAGCCAAUGAGUUCUCACGGAAGGGGAUAAUUCUCACUGAAACUACAGAAUAAAGCCGUCCAGUUAAAAUCAAGGAACGGUUGUGCUCGUGGUUACUGAAGGGAGCUACAAGACCCUUAUCCGUUUCGAAUUCACCAACUCAAAGACGCUUGCCCUCUCCAUCAUAACUCCGUAAGUUUUCCCUCCCUGUGUAGAUCAAACGUCCUGCCUGUAAAUCCUGGGUAUGCCCACAUCAUUAAUGAAUAAGAUGUGUAGAAAAACUGUUUAUCCAUAGUUAAAGGCCUUUCAUAAAGAGGCUGUCCUGAUUUCAUGUGCCUCAUGUUUAACACGUAUUGCUUGUUACAGAAUACUACUGUUGUACAUCUAAUAUCCCCUAGCAGAUUUCGUUGCCUUUGCACAAAUUCUGUCAUGUUACUGUGGUCUUUUUAAAAGUCAAUAAAUAUGUGUGGAAAGUGUA